UCUGCAACCGUGGAGACACCCAGGGAUGUAAACAGCAACGAGAAAAGGCCACUUGUGCCACUAUUAGGUUUUGCGGUGCUCCUGUCUGUCCUGUCUGAAGACAAGUUCCUUCAGGCUGCAGACCACUGCAGCCUCAAGAGCUGGGACGGUUAGAAGGAGGUAGCAAAGCCCCGUGCCUGGUGCCACUCCUGCCUGCGACAGCCCCUCAGACACAGACUCAAGACCUCUUCCACUUGUGGCAGACAUGCGUGCUCUCCAUCAUUCGCUAACAAGACGUCACAGCAUCUGUGUCCCUUGUGAUUAAAAACGUGCGGGGAGCUAGAACACACAUAUGCCUCAAAUGCUUCUGUUCCAAUAAGAGAAAACUCACAGCUGGCCCUGGGCUGGGGCCAGCCCCUCCAGAUCUGAGCAUAGGAAGACAAGAGGCUUGGUCCUGAACUUCCAGAACAAGCUGAAAACACCAGCUAGCCCCCGAUUCCACUCUCCGUGGGAGUUGGCCACUGACACCACCGUGGAGCCCACAGAGGUAACGCCCUUUUGCUCUUGCUUAUAGCUUGUGGUAUCUGCAUAAUUGACAAUGGAAAGUUUGUCAGCAAAGGCGUUUCCAUAUUUUUUUAUAC